rnacentral:rRNA from 1 species
GAUGAACGCUGGCGGCGUGCCUAAUACAUGCAAGUCGAGCGAACAGACGAGGAGCUUGCUCCUCUGACGUUAGCGGCGGACGGGUGAGUAACACGUGGAUAACCUACCUAUAAGACUGGGAUAACUUCGUGAAACCGGAGCUAAUACCGGAUAAUAUAUUGAACCGCAUGGUUCAAUAGUGAAAUACGGUUUUGCUGUCACUUCUAGAUGGAUCCGCGCCGCAUUAGCUAGUUGGUAAGGUAACGGCUUACCAAGGCGACGAUGCGUAGCCGACCUGAGAGGGGGAUAGGCAAAACUGGAACUGAGACACGGUACAGACGCCUACGGGAGGCAGCAGUAGGGAAUAUUCCGCAAUGGGCGAAAGCAUGACGGAGCAACGCCGCGUGAGUGAUGAAGGUCUUCGGAUCGUAAAACUCUGUUAUGAGGGAAGAACAAAUGUGUAAGUAAAUAUGCACGUCUUGACGGUAACUAAUCAGAAAGCAACGGCUAACUACGUG